UUUUCAGGUGUUGGAAGCCCCGGAGCCUCACAGGGGACCACGCCCACUGCCAGGAGCUGCAGCGAUUCCCCUUUUGUGGUCAGGGAGGCCGUGGAGCCCUGGGUGACCCUGUGACUUCCCAGGCUGCAGGUGGGAUUGAGCCAGGCACUGCGCACGCAGCACUGUGAGCCGCUGGCCCAGGCCAGGCUCCAGAGAUGGGAGCUCCGCGGGUUCACAGUCGUCUGUGACAGCAGAGCUGAGGGGAGGACGCAGACCCUGGCCUGACCUUGGGCUACCUCUCAGGGUUAGGCCACUGCCUCUGCUGCAGACCCAGGCGGCGCCCAAAGCCUGGGCGUCCCUCCGCUGCAGUGAAAGGGAAAAGAAAACCGGGCUGCGGUAAUGCCUGGAGCCAAAAUCUCAGGGAGAAGCCCAGCUCCCGACACCUACCCUCUUAAAGUGCAGUUGGAUUGAAUGAGGCUAAAGGAAGUAACAGGAACCCCGGCCUGGAGGAAGGAGCACGUGCUAUGGGCCUCAGAGGGUGGCAGAGGAGGUCUGCAGGGGCGAGAAUCUCGGACAGAGCCGAGGCACAGGUGAGCGGUGCCCGGCACAGCAGCCUGGUAGAUGGGAUCGGGGCGGACAGCGGGGGAGAGCGGAGAGGGGUCCGCCUGGGUUCACACCCCAACACCCACCAGGAGCCCCUGGGAACCAGUCAGGCCCCCAGCCCAAUCCCAGUUUCCCCAGGCCACUGCUGGAACAAAAAGCCUCACUGCAGACAAUGGGCCCUUUCUGUAGAUGCCCGCUCGGGGCUGGGCACAAUCGCCGAUUCAUAAGCCAGGCAAGGCCCCACAAUACCCAGGCUGUGUCCAAGAAGGACACCGACGGGAACUCGGAGAGGCCAGUGUCUUUGGUGGGGAAAGGCUGCUCCCUGGUGGUCCACAGGGGCAGUGCGCAUGACCAGGGCUCCCAGACUUCAGGCAAGGAUGAUGGCGGAGAGACACGGCUUAGAAGUCAUCCCACCAUAUGGACGGGGAAACUGAGGCCCAGAGACAUGCAGAGACUUGGCUCGGACUGUUUUCUUCAAUGUGAGAUAGGAUUUGAAGGGGGAAAGUGAAGGAGUUAUUUCACCUGAUGUGUUAAGUGCGGAGUGAGGUAGGUGGGAUUUAGAGGGGAAAGCGAAGAAGGAGUUAUUUCACUCAAAGUGCGGAGUGACGAAGAUGAAGGAACACGAGGUAGCCGGGCAGUGGGUGCUGAGUUGGCUGACACUGGCUUCCUUCCAGAGCGCAGGGGUGCAUCCUUCCGAACCUCGCAUUCAGUGACGUCACCUUGGUGAUUUGAAGUAGGCCCUGGUGGAAGUAUUUACACCAUGGACAUCAGCAAAUGCAACCAAGACCUCCCGCUACCCUGGAGAGCUGGGUUUAAGACAUUUGCCAGCACACCACUGCCCAGGGACCAGUCUCAGCUCCAGAGCUGUGGGUUAUUGGUAAAGGAUGUGAUUUCAUUGAGCCUCAGUUUCUGUAUCUGUAAAGCAGGAAUCUAUCACUUAUGAAAUAUCCUGUGCAGGCACAAUCUUAGGUGUGGAGGAUACAAUACAACUCUUUGUAAUAGUUAAUUUUAUGCAUCAACUUGACUGGAUCACAGUGUGCCCAGAUAUUUGAUCAAACAUUAUUCUGAGUGUUUCCGUGACAAUGUUUUUGGAUACAAUCAACAUUUAUUUAAUUGGUUGAAGACCUGAAUAGAACAAAGAGUUCAAUUCUCUCAAGUAAGAGAAUUCCUCCUGUCUGACUACUUCAGAAUUGGGACAUUGGCUUUUUCCUGCCUCUACACUACAACUACACCAUCAAGCCUUCAGACAUGGAAAGGAACCACACUAUUGGCUCUCCUCGGUCUUCAGCUUGCCAACUCAAUGCAGAUCUUUGCAUUUGUCAGCCUUAUAACCAUGUGAGCUAAUUCCCUAAAAUAAAUGUCCUCAUUUAAAUGUAUUUCCUA
rnacentral:lncRNA from 1 species